GUCAAAUAGUAAUCGGACUAGGAUAUAGCUGGUUUUCUGCGAAAAUUGUUUUGGCAAAUUGUUUAUUCCUCUUAAAAAUAGUAGGUAUAGCACUGAAUAUCUCGAGGGAGUAUGAAAAUAUUUAUCUCAGAUAUUUAAUCUCAAAAUAACUAUUUCUUAAAAUAAAUAAUCAGACUAUGUCCGAUAAGGUAGAUAGUCGAAAGGGAAACAGCCCAGAACAGUAAUUAAAGCUCCCCAAUUAAUAUUAAGUGAAAUAAAAGUUGUUGCAU
rnacentral:rRNA from 1 species